CAAUAGUAGGGAACGUUCAACCUUAGCUUGGCAGCGCCAAACUCGCUCUACCUGCCUCCUCCAGUUAUCAGGCCCUCCCCACCCAUCUCGGCCGCCUGGGGCCUUCUGACCCCAGAGCCAGAGUGAAUUUAGGAGAGGAGGUGGGGCGGCGGCCCGAGAAGGCGGUGGCGCAGCGGUACCUAGUGGCACCGCCAGGCCACGUCCAGAGUACGUGGCACUGGGCCGUGGACCGACAGGGAGGGGACUGGGCUUUCUCCUCCCUGGGAGGAGCCUCCAGGCAUCCAGCAGCGGAGAUGGAGCCCUCGAAGGGAUCAGGGCGUGCAUUUGGUGAGAUCUUAUCAGAGUAAAGCAGCCAGGCACCCGCCCGACACCUGGUUUUCCACGCUCCUCUCGGCGAUAAGCCCACGUUUAUCGGGAUAGCUGGAGAGGGCGGGGGCGAGGUGCUCGCCAGCCCGCAUGCGCAGAGCCGCCGCGGUCGGACUACAACUCCCAGAGGCGUCACGGGGAGGCCGCCGGCCCCGGCGCCAUCUUGAAAUCUGAUGCCUCCUCGCCCGGGCUUUGCGUCAGCCCGGAGCCUCUGCAACCGUCCGGGAGCCCUGCCUGCCCGCCCGGGAGGACGUAGAGGACACGGCGGCCCGCCGGAGAGACAGCUGUAGGGGGCCUUGGCAGCGUCGGCGCUCGGCUCGCAUCCCGUCACUCAGCAUCCCCCCGCCUCGGUGUUUCCGCGCCCGCCCCCUGACCGAGGGGCGGGGCUGGCCGAGUGGUACCCAGAGCCUGCGCGCUCCGAGGUGCGCCCCUACCCAGUGAGGACCCCGGGCAGGACCAUGCCAGCCCCAGACAAUCGAGGUGGGAAGAGGAACGCAUCCCAGAGCCAGUGAGUCGCAGCUCGCAGCUGGGGCCGUUACCGAGACGCUCGGCCACCCUUCCCGGAGUAAAGAUGAAAGAGAUUUGCAGGAUCUGUGCCCGGGAGCUGUGUGGUAACCAGCGGCGCUGGAUCUUCCAUACCACGUCCAAGCUCAACCUCCAAGUUCUGCUUUCGUACGUCCUGGGCAAAGAUGUCACUCGCGAUGGCAGAGCCGAGUUUGCUUGCAGCAAGUGCGCUUUCAUGCUCGAUCGCAUCUAUCGAUUCGAUACUGUUAUUGCAAGGAUCGAAGCCCUGUCUAUCGAGCGCUUGCAGAAGCUGCUGCUGGAGAAGGAUCGCCUCAAGUUCUGCAUCGCCAGUAUGUAUCGGAAGAAUAACGAUGACUCUGGCGAGGAGAUCAAGGCGGGGAGUGGGACGGUGGACAUUUCCAGCUUGCCAGAUAUGAGGUACUCCGCACUGCUCCAGGAAGACUUUGCCUUUUCAGGGUUUGAGUGCUGGGUUGAAAAUGAGGAUCAGAUUCAGGAGUCACACAGCUGUCAUGGUUCCGAAGGCCCCGGAAACCGACCCAGGAGAUGCCGCGGUUGUGCGGCUUUGCGGGUUGCAGAUUCUGACUAUGAAGCCAUUUGUAAGGUGCCUCGCAAAGUGGCCAGAAGUAUUUCUUAUGCCCCCUCUAGCAGGUAUUCGACCAGCAUUUGCACCGAAGAACCAGCAUUGUCAGAGGUUGGGCCGCCAGACUUAGCAAGCACAAAAGUUCCCCCGGAUGGAGAAAGCAUGGAGGAAGGGACGCCAGGUUCCUCGGUGGAAUCUUUGGAUGCUAGUGUGCAGGCCAGUCCUCCCCAACAGAAAGAGGAGGAAACGGAGAGGAGUACCAAAGAACUUCUGAAGUGUGACUAUUGUUCGGAUGAGCAGGCUCCACAGCCUUUCUGUAACCACAAACUGGAGCUAGCUCUUAGCAUGAUUAAAGGUCUUGAAUACAAGCCCCUCCAGAGUCCCCGAGGGAGCAAGCUUCCAAUUCCAGUGAAAUCCAGCCCACUUGGAGCCAAGCCUGGCCAUAUCAUGACAAAUGGAGUUAGUUCCAGUUUCCUUAACAGGCCUUUGACACCUGUGAGCUAUCCUUUGGACCUUUCAGACCUGCAGGAGCUGUGGGAUGACCUCGAUGACGAGUAUCUGCCACUCCAGUUCCAGCCCCAGCCUGAAAAGUUAUUCAAGCAACAGAAGCUGAGCUCAGAGGAGACCCCUGUCACCCAGGCUGUUAUCAGUAAAUCUGCGUCUGAUUCCCACGCGGAAGAGCUCCAGGACAAAAUCCAGCAAACAGAGGCCACCAACAAGAUUCUUCAAGAGAAACUGAAUGAAAUGAGCUGUGAACUAAAAUCUGCACAGGAGUCGUCUCAGGAGCAAGAUGUGACAAUCCAGAGCCUCAAGGAAUCGCUAAAAAGCAGGGAAAGUGAGACCGAGGAGCUGUACCAGGUGAUCGAAGGACAGAAUGACACAAUGGUAAAGCUCCGUGAGAUGCUGCACCAAAGCCAGCUUGGACAGCUCCAGAGCUCAGAGGGCGCGGCCCCAGCUCAGCAACAGGUGGCCCUGCUUGAUCUUCAGAGUGCUCUGUUCUGUAGCCAGCUUGAAAUCCAGAAGCUCCAGAGGCUGGUGCGCCAGAAAGAGCGGCAACUGGCCGAUGUCAAGAGGUGCAUGCAGUUUGUAGAGGCUGCGGCCCGGGAGAGAGAGCAACAGAAGGAAGCUGCUUGGAAACAUAACCAGGAAUUACGGAAAGCUUUACAACACCUCCAAGGAGAAUUGCAUAGUAAGAACCAACAGCUUAAUACCCUAGAGAUGGAAAAAUACAAUGAGAUUCGAAUCCGGGAACAAGACAUUCAACACCUACGUCAGAGUCUGAGUCUCAAAGAGCAACUGUUUCAGGAACUUCAGGAGCUCCUACGGUAUCGAGAUAACCCAGACAAAACUCCAGAAACGAAUGAGCUGUUGCUGGAGAAAAUGCAGCAGCAGAUACAAGCCCAAGCUGCUGUUCUGGAGCGGGCUCUCGAGGAAAAGUUCUCCGCUCUAGAAGAAAAGGACAAGGAAUUGCAGCAGCUUCACCUAGCUGUGCGAGAGCGAGAUCAUGAUUUAGAGAGGCUGCGUAGUGUCCUGUCCGCCAAUGAAACCACCAUGCAAAGUAUGGAGGGCCUCCUGAGGGCCAAAGGCCUGGAACUGGAGCAGUUAACUGCCACCUGUCAAAACCUCCAGUGGCUGAAAGCAGAAUUGGAAACCAAAUCUGACCACUGGCGGAAGGAACAGGAGAGCGUCCUUCAGCAGCUGCAGACAUCUCUGCACAGCAAGGACAAAGAGGUGGAGGAUCUCAGGGCAACAUUACUCUGCAAACUCGGACCUGGCCAGAGUGAGAUAGCUGAGGAGCUGUGCCAGCGCCUGCAGCAGAAAGAAAAGAUGCUGCAGGACCUUCUGAGUGAUCAGAAUAAACAAGCUGUGGAGCAUGAACUGGAGAUCCAGGGGCUGCUUCAGUCGAUGAAUACCCGGGAGCAGGCGAGCCAAGCUGCUGCAGAAAAAAUGGCUCAAGCCUUCCUGGAGAGAAACUCAGAGUUACACGCCCUGCGCCAGUACCUGGGGAGAGACCUCAUUCCCUUCCGGGCACUACUCUUAGACCAGCAAGUUGAAGUGACAUCCAUCAGCCCCGACCUUGGAGAGCAGGCUGAUCAAAGCUCUAUGCAGAUGCCCUCCAGAGAUGAAAGCGCUUCACUGACUGCUAAAGAAGAUGCCAGCGUGCCCAGGCCCACGUUAGGAGACUCGGACACAGUUGCAGGGCUGGAGAAAGAACUGAGUAAUGCCAAGGAGGAGCUCGAGCUCAUGGCUAAAAAAGAAAGAGAAAGCCAGAUAGAACUGUCUGCUCUACAGUCCAUGAUGGCUGUGCAAGAAGAUGAGCUGCAGGUGCAGGCUGCCGACUUGGAGUCGCUGACCAGGAACAUACAGAUAAAAGAAGACCUCAUAAAGGACCUGCAGAUGCAGCUGGUCGACCCUGAAGACAUACCAGCCAUGGAACACCUGACUCAAGAGCUCUUACUUCUUCGGGAAAAGGUUGCUUCAGUAGAAUCCCAGGGUCAGGAAGUUUCUGGAAACCGGAGACAACAGUUGCUGCUGAUGCUAGAGGGACUAGUGGAUGAGCGGAGUCGUCUCAACGAGGCCCUGCAGGCAGAGAGGCAGCUGUACAGCAGCCUGGUCAAGUUCCACGCCCAUCCGGAGAACUCUGAGAGAGACCGGACCCUGCAGGUGGAACUGGAAGGGGCCCAGGCCUUGCGCAGCCGACUAGAAGAAGUUCUUGGAAGAAGCCUGGAGCGCUUGAGCAGGCUGGAGACACUGGCCGCCACUGGAGGUGCUGCUGCUGCUGCUGCGGGCGAUGAUGCCGAGGACACAAGCACAGAGUUCACAGACAGCAUCGAGGAGGAGGCUGCACACAACAGCCACCAGCAACUCAUUAAGGUGGCUUUGGAGAAAAGCCUGGCGACCAUGGAGACCCAGAACACAUGUCUUCAGCCCCCUUCCCCAACAGGAGGGGACAAUAACAGGUGUCUUCAGGAAGAAAUGCUCCACCUGAGGGCUGAAGUCCACCAGCACUUGGAGGAGAGGAGGAAAGCUGAGGCGGAACUCAAGGAGCUGAAGGCUCAGAUCGAAGAAGCAGGAUUCUCCUCUGUGUCCCACAUCAGGAACACCAUGCUGAGCCUUUGCCUUGAGAAUGCAGAGCUGAAAGAGCGGAUGGGAGAAGCGAUGUCUGACGGAUGGGAGGCCGAGGAGGACAAGGAGAAGGGCGAGCUGAUGGUGGAGACUGCGGAGGCCAAAGGGGGUCUGGAUGAGAGCAGCCUCCAGGCUGAGUUCAGGAAAGUCCAGGGGAAACUGAAGAGUGCCUACAACAUCAUCAACCUCCUCAAGGAACAGCUGGUCCUGAGCAGCUCGGAAGGGAACGGUAAAGUCAGGCCGGAGCUCCUUGUGCGCCUCGCCAGGGAGGUGGACAGAAUGAACAUGGGCCUGCCUUCCCCUGGGAAGCAGCAACACCAAGACAAGGAGAACGUGACCACAAGGCCUGGCCCCAGACCCCAGAGCCUCAGUCUUGGGGCAGCCCUCCCAGCGGAUACCCACCACCUGGAGAACAAGUCCCAGGCCCGAGACUCCGGACACCAGUCAGAGUUUAGCCUACCUGGGCCCACCAAACACCUGCGUUCCCAGCUGGCUCAGUGCAGACAGCGAUAUCAAGAUCUCCAGGAGAAGCUACUCAUCUCGGAAGCUACUGUGUUUGCCCAGGCGAACCAGCUGGAGAAGUACAGGGUCAUAUUCAGUGAAUCCCUGGUGAAACAGGACAGCAAGCAAAUCCAGGUGGACCUUCAAGACCUGGGCUAUGAGACUUGUGGCCGGAGUGAGAAUGAAGCUGAACGUGAGGAGACCACCAGCCCCGAGUGUGAGGAGCACAACAGCCUGGGGCCCAUGGUGUUCAUGGAGGGGCUGUGCUCUGAGCAGGGGUACCUGGACCCCGUCCUGGUCAGCCCACCUGCAAAGAAGAAGCCUUUGGAGAACAAACCCGGGAGGCAGGACGAGUUCCAGAUGCACGGAAAUCCAGACGACAGCUCUGUCCUGAGGAAGGACAUCAGAGAUCUGAAAGCCCAGCUACAGAAUGCCAACAAGGUCAUUCAGAACCUCCGAAGCCGGGUCCGGUCCCUCUCUGCUACAAGUGAUUACUCAUCCAGUCUGGAGAGACCCCGGAAGCUGAGAACCAUCGCAACCCUGGAGGGGUCUUCACCUCACAGUGUCACUGAUGAAGAUGAAGGGUGGCUAUCGGACGGCACUGGGGCUUUUUACCCCCCAGGGCUACAGGCCAAAAAGGAUCUGGAGAGUCUCAUCCAGAGGGUAUCCCAGCUAGAGGCCCAGCUCCCCAAAACUGGACUGGAGGGGAAGCUGGCCGAGGAGCUGAGGUCUGCCUCUUGGCCUGGAAAAUACGAUUCCUUGAUUCAGGAUCAGGCCCGCGAACUAUCAUAUCUGCGUCAAAAAAUCCGAGAAGGGAGAGGUAUUUGCUAUCUUCUCACCCAACAUGCAAAAGACACAGUGAAGUCUUUUGAGGACCUCCUAAGGAGCAAUGACAUCGACUACUACCUGGGCCAGAGCUUCCGGGAGCAGCUAGCCCAAGGGGGUCAGCUGACGGAGAGACUCACCAGCAAACUGAGCACCAAGGAUCAUAAAAGUGAGAAAGAAGAAGCUGGGCUUGAGCCGCUGGCCCUCAGGCUCAGCAGGGAGCUCCAGGAGAAGGACAAAGUGAUCGAAGUCCUGCAGGCCAAGCUGGAUAGCCGGUCUCUCUCGCCCCCCAGCAGCCAUGCCCUGUCUGACUCCCACCGCUCGGCCAGCAGCACGUCCUUCCUGUCUGAUGAGAUAGAAGCUUGCUCUGACAUGGACGUAGCCAGCGAGUACACAGCCUAUGAAGAGAAGAAGUCUUCACCUGGCCACUCAGAGUCCAUCCAUCAUUUGAGUCAUUGUACUGUGUUGUCUUCUAAACCAUCAGCCACCAGUGCAUCUCAGGGGCUGAAGGUCGAGUCCAGCAACAGCCCCAUCAGCUUGCCAACUCCCCAGAACCCCCUCAAGGAGGCCAGCCAGGCCUGUUCAGGCUUUCACUUUAACUCCUCACCCAAGCCGGCUAGCCUUGCCCAGGCACCAAUGCCCUCAACUCCACCCAGCUUCAUGCCUUUCGGCCCCUCUGGCCCUCCCCUCCUCGGUUGCUGUGAGACACCAGCGGUGUCCUUGGCUGAGGCUCAGCAGGAGCUGCAGAUGCUGCAGAAGCAGCUGGGAGAAAGUGUUAGCGUGGCUCCUCCUGCCUCCACAGCUACGCUGCUGAGCAGCCGUCCAGAAGCUAGCUCUUCCCACUACCUCAACCCCGCUCAGCCCUACUCUCCUACAAGGGGCAUCAUAGAGCUGGGCAGAAUCCCGGAGCCUGGUUACCUGGGUAGCAGCGGCCAGUGGGACACGAUGAGGCCUCAGAAAGGGAGCGUCUCUGGGGACCUGUCGUCGGGCUCCUCACUGUACCAGCUGAACGCCAAACCCACAGGGGCUGACCUGUUGGAAGAGCAUCUCAGUGAGAUCCGGAACCUGCGCCAGCGCCUGGAGGAGUCCAUAUGUGUCAAUGACCGGCUUCGGGAGCAGCUGCAGCAGAGGCUCACCUCCACCACCCGGGAAAGCGGCUCCACCUCCCACUUCUACAGUCAGGGCCUGGAGUCCAUGCCUCAGCUCUACAGUGAGAACAGAGCCCUGAGGGAAGAAAACCAAAGCCUGCAGGCUCAGCUCAGUCAUGCUUCCAGAGGCGGUGACAUAGAGACCCCUGUGUCCCGCUCAUCAGGACACUCCCAGGAAGUGGACCGCCUGCAGGAGGCUCUGCUCUCCUCUCGGUCCCAGCUUCAAGAGCUGGAGAAGGAGCUGGAGCGGCAGAAGGCUGAGAGGCAGCAGCUGCUGGGAGACCUGCAGGAGAAGCAGGAAGAGAUCUUGCAUUUCCGGGAGGAGAGGCUCUCCCUCCAGGAAAAGGACUCCAGGCUGCAGCACAAGCUGGCCUUCCUGCAACAACAGUGUGAAGAAAAGCAGCAGCUCUCCCUCUCCCUGCAGUCGGAGCUCCAGAUCUAUGAGUCACUCUGUGGAACUCCGAAGACAGGCCUGAAAGCUUGCAGCCUGGAUUCCUGCCACCAAGUCCCCAGUGAGUUAAGCUACCUGGUGGCGGAGAUACGAGCUCUGAGAGGGCAGUUGGAGCAGAGCAUUCAAGUGAACAAUGGUCUGCGGCUGCAGCUGGAACAGCAGCUGGACGGUGGUGCUGGCAAAGCCAAUCUCAGCCCGUCCUCUGUUAGCCAGAAGUCCUCAGCCGAGGUGGAACCUGCGAACACACAGCCACUCUUCCAAGGUUCAGCUGUGUCCCCUCCAGUCCGGGAUGUUGGCUUGAAUUCUCCAGCCACAGGCCUCCCCAGCUCUUCUCGCUCUGUUCCUGGCUCAGACCCUGCCAUCAUCACCAGGACAAAUGAGCUGGGUUUGGAUGAUUCUGCAGUGAUAAAGAACCCUCCCAAGCUGGUGGGCAAUGCUGUUGAUGGUUCCUUUGCCCACAAGCAUGGCCGACAUGUCAUCGGCCAUAUUGAUGACUACAGUGCUCUGCAAGAGCAGAUCAGGGAAGGCAAGCUGCUGGUCCAAAAGAUCCUGUCUCUUGUGAGGCCAGCGUGCAGCAUCCCUGGCCUUGAAGCUCAGGACAUAGGGGUACCAGGUGCCAAAAGUGUCCGUGAGCUGCAGAGCAGUGCCAGAGCUCUGAACCACAUCCUAGACGAGUCAGCAUCCCUCCUCACCAUGUUCUGGAGAGCAGCCUUGCCAAGCUCACACGGUCCAGGACUGGUAGGCCAAGCGUUGAUGGAGAAAGAACUCCUGGACCUGCGAGCCCAGGUGUCCCAACAGGAAGAGCUCCUUCAGAGAACCAAUGAGCGGCUGAAGACAGCCAAGCAGCAGAAGAAAAGCUUGGAACAGUACGUCGUGAAACACCUGACGAGGACCCAUGAUGUCUUGAAGAGAGCACGGACGAAUUUAGAGCCUCUGUAGCACUGCACUUACAAGAUUCCCUCCAUGCAGCCAUAUUCCCGUCCCAGCUAAGGUGAAAUCCUUAAGGGCUCGGCCGUGCACUUCAGGCUUGUGACCCUUGUCUUCCAGGAGCCACACAAGAAGCGAAGCCACAAGUCCUUAAAGCAGCAGGAAGGGUGGGCCUGCCCUCCUCUUGUGCAGCUGCCGAUCUGCUGAGGGAUGCCUGUCCCACACCUCCCCUGCUGGAGGUCCAGAAAAGGGCUCAGAGGUGUGUCCCCACGGGACAGGCAGGCGAGAGUGGCAUCCUGGCAGCAGUGAAUAUGAUUAGCCAAGGCCCGCUGGGCCCAGCACUAAGCCAAACUGACGUAGACUGCAUAGACGGCCUCGCGGCUCUGCUUCUAAACAGCCUCCGUGGCGCCGGCACCCUCCUCAUCACGGUUCUUGCCUCAGCGUCUGUCCUCAAGACGGCCAACUCAGGGGAAGUAGGACCUCGACGCCCACAAAACAGGGUGUGUGGUCCCAACACUGAAGCUCCUCAGACAGUUGUAAAAGCACACUAAUUGAGUGGCAGUGCCCUGCUGGACAGUGUUGGGGCUCACCAAAGUCCCCUCACAAACUGACUCUUAAUCUAGGCCAGCCCUAUGGGCCAAGCCAGGUAGCACUUUGAUCUGCAACACCACGUCAGAGUUCUUUGAGUCUACACAGCAGACGUGGUGACUUCUGGGUGCCCCACGCUUAGCCUAGCACCUUCUGUUUCCUAUAUGAUCUCAAGUUGAACGGGCGUCCCUUAAAUGUGCUGUCCCCUGGAAUCCUAACUCCCCUCGGGGGAACUGGAGACUGGCGGCCACAUCAUGCCCGUUGAAUGUCCAAAGCAUACAGCACACCUGCUCCUCUUUUAAUGCCAUGGCGAGGCCUGUUCUGAAUUGAAGACUGUGCGUCUUCACAGUGCUCAUAGGAUGUGGCUGUGUGUGUAUAAAUGUAUAAUAUAGAUAUAUAUGUUGCUAUGGCCAGGUGUUGAAGGUCAUAAUGUGCAGACAGGUGGGUAGGAGGAUGCUACACAGUCUUUCGGAUGGCUAUUAAAGCAAACUGUGUAUAAAGAAA